rnacentral:tRNA from 1 species
AGGGGCUUAGGUUAAAAAAACUACAGGCCUUCAAAGCCUGGAUUGAGCAUAGCUUGCUCAGCCCCUG